rnacentral:rRNA from 1 species
UACGGAGGGUCCAAGCGUUAUCCGGAUUUAUUGGGUUUAAAGGGUCCGCAGGCGGGAAAAUAAGUCAGUGGUGAAAUCCUACAGCUUAACUGUAGAACUGCCAUUGAUACUGUUUUUCUUGAGUAUAAUUGAAGUGGGCGGAAUGUGUCAUGUAGCGGUGAAAUGCAUAGAUAUUGGGAAGAACACCAGUUGCGAAGGCUGCUUAUUGGCGCACUACUGACGCUGAGGAACGAAAGCAUGGGGAGCAAACAGGAUUAGAAACCCCAGUAGU